UGAACGCUGGCGGCGUGCUUAACACAUGCACAUCGAACGAAGCACUUUAUUUGAUUUCCUUCGGGACUGAUUCUUUUGUGACUGAGUGGCGGACGGGUGAGUAACGCGUGGGUAACCUGCCUUGUACAGGGGGAUAACAGUUGGAAACGGCUGCUAAUACCGCAUAAGCGCACAGCAUCGCAUGAUGCAGUGUGAAAAACUCCGGUGGUAUAAGAUGGACCCGCGUUGGAUUAGCUAGUUGGUGAGGUAACGGCCCACCAAGGCGACGAUCCAUAGCCGACCUGAGAGGGUGACCGGCCACAUUGGGACUGAGACACGGCCCAAACUCCUACGGGAGGCAGCAGUGGGGAAUAUUGCACAAUGGGCGAAAGCCUGAUGCAGCGACGCCGCGUGAGCGAAGAAGUAUUUCGGUAUGUAAAGCUCUAUCAGCAGGGAAGAUAAUGACGGUACCUGACUAAGAAGCACCGGCUAAAUACGUG
rnacentral:rRNA from 1 species